AGAGCGAACGCUGGCGGCAGGCCUAACACAUGCAAGUCGAACGCACCUUCGGGUGAGUGGCGGACGGGUGAGUAACACGUGGGAACGUACCUUUUGGUUCGGAAUAACGCAGGGAAACUUGCGCUAAUACCGAAUGUGCUCCGUAAGGAGGAAAGAUUUAUCGCCAUUAGAGCGGCCCGCGUUAGAUUAGCUAGUUGGUGAGGUAAAGGCUCACCAAGGCUACGAUCUAUAGCUGGUCUGAGAGGAUGAUCAGCCACAUUGGGACUGAGACACGGCCCAAACUCCUACGGGAGGCAGCAGUGGGGAAUCUUGCGCAAUGGGCGAAAGCCUGACGCAGCCAUGCCGCGUGAAUGAUGAAGGUCUUAGGAUUGUAAAAUUCUUUCAGUAGGGACGAUAAUGACGGUACCUACAGAAGAAGCCCCGGCUAACUUCGUGUCAGCAGCCGC
rnacentral:rRNA from 1 species